rnacentral:rRNA from 1 species
GAUGAACGCUGGCGGCGUGCCUAAUACAUGCAAGUCGAGCGAACAGAUGAGGAGCUUGCUCCUCUGACGUUAGCGGCGGACGGGGGAGUAACACGUGGAUAACCUAGCUAUAAGACUGGGAUAACUUCGGGAAACCGGAGCUAAUAACGGAUAAUAUAUUGAACCGCAUGGUUCAAUAGUGAAAGACGGUUUUGCUGUCACUUAUAGAAGGAUCCGCGCAGCAUUAGCUAGUUGGUAAGGUAACGGCUUACCAAGGCAACGAUGCGUAGCCGGCCUGAGAGGGUGAUCGGCCACACUGGAACUGAGACACGGUCCAGACUCCUACGGGAGGCAGCAGUAGGGAAUCUUGCGCAAUGGGCGAAAGCCUGACGGAGCAACGCCGCGUGAGUGAUGAAGGCCUUCGGAUCGUAAAGCUCUUUUAUUAGUGAAGAACAAAUGUGUAUGUAUCUAUGCUCCUCUUGACGGUACCUAAUCAGAAAGCCACGGCUAACUCCGUG